GAUGAACGCUGGCGGCGUGCCUAAUACAUGCAAGUCGAGCGAACGGACGAGAAGCUUGCUUCUCUGAUGUUAGCGGCGGACGGGUGAGUAACACGUGGAUAACCUACCUAUAAGACUGGGAUAACUUCGGGAAACCGGAGCUAAUACCGGAUAAUAUUAUGAACUGCAUGGUUCAAAAGUGAAAGACGGUCUUGCUGUCACUUAUAGAUGGAUCCGCGCUGCAUUAGCUAGUUGGUAAGGUAACGGCUUACCAAGGCAACGAUGCAUAGCCGACCUGAGAGGGUGAUCGGCCACACUGGAACGGAGACACGGUCCAGACUCCUACGGGAGGCAGCAGUAGGGAAUCUUCCGCAAUGGGCGAAAGCCUGACGGAGCAACGCCGCGUGAGUGAUGAAGGUCUUCGGAUCGUAAAACUCUGUUAUUAGGGAAGAACAUAUGUGUAAGUAACUGUGCACAUCUUGACGGUACCUAAUCAGAAAGCCACGGCUAACUACGUG
rnacentral:rRNA from 1 species